UAGGGAAUAUUGGACAAUGGGCGCAAGCCUGAUCCAGCCAUGCCGCGUGAGUGAAGAAGGCCCUCGGGUUGUAAAGCUCUUUUGUCCGGAAAGAAAAGCAUCGGGCUAAUACCCUGGUGUUCUGACGGUACCGGAAGAAUAAGCACCGGCUAACUUCGUGCCAGCAGCCGCGGUAAUACGAAGGGUGCAAGCGUUACUCGGAAUUACUGGGCGUAAAGCGUGCGUAGGUGGUUUGUUAAGUCUGAUGUGAAAGCCCUGGGCUCAACCUGGGAAUGGCAUUGGAAACUGGCGGACUCGAGUGCGGUAGAGGGGUGUGGAAUUCCCGGUGUAGCAGUGAAAUGCGUAGAGAUCGGGAGGAACACCAGUGGCGAAGGCGACACCCUGGACCAGCACUGACACUGAGGCACGAAAGCGUGGGGAGCAAACAGGAUUAGAUACCCUGGUAGUCCACGCCCUAAACGAUGCGACUGGAUGUUGGUGCACUUGGCACUCAGUAUCGAAGCUAACGCGUUAAGUUCGCCGCCUGGGGAGUACGGUCGCAAGACUGAAACUCAAAUGAAUUGACGGGGUCAUAGC
rnacentral:rRNA from 1 species